rnacentral:rRNA from 1 species
AGAGUUUGAUCAUGGCUCAGAACGAACGCUGGCGGCAGGCUUAACACAUGCAAGUCGAGCGCCCCGCAAGGGGAGCGGCAGACGGGUGAGUAACGCGCGGGAAUCUACCCUUUUCUACGGAAUAACGCAGGGAAACUUGUGCUAAUACCGUAUGUGUCCUUCGGGAGAAAGAUUUAUCGGGAAAGGAUGAGCCCGCGUUGGAUUAGCUAGUUGGUGGGGUAAAGGCCUACCAAGGCGACGAUCCAUAGCUGGUCUGAGAGGAUGAUCAGCCACAUUGGGACUGAGACACGGCCCAAACUCCUACGGGAGGCAGCAGUGGGGAAUAUUGGACAAUGGGCGCAAGCCUGAUCCAGCCAUGCCGCGUGAGUGAUGAAGGCCCUAGGGUUGUAAAGCUCUUUCACCGGAGAAGAUAAUGACGGUAUCCGGAGAAGAAGCCCCGGCUAACUUCGUGCCAGCAGCCGCGGUAAUACGAAGGGGGCUAGCGUUGUUCGGAAUUACUGGGCGUAAAGCGCACGUAGGCGGAUCGAUCAGUCAGGGGUGAAAUCCCAGGGCUCAACCCUGGAACUGCCUUUGAUACUGUCGAUCUGGAGUAUGGAAGAGGUAAGUGGAAUUCCGAGUGUAGAGGUGAAAUUCGUAGAUAUUCGGAGGAACACCAGUGGCGAAGGCGGCUUACUGGUCCAUUACUGACGCUGAGGUGCGAAAGCGUGGGGAGCAAACAGGAUUAGAUACCCUAGUAGUCC